CCCCGAUUGCGAAGGCAGCUGUCUAGCCCAGCAUUGACGCUGAUGCACGAAAGCGUGGGGAUCGAACAGGAUUAGAUACCCUGGUAGUCCACGCCCUAAACGAUGAUGACUCGAUGUUAGCGAUAUACCGUUAGCGUCCAAGCGAAAGCGUUAAGUCAUCCACCUGGGGAGUACGGCCGCAAGGCUGAAACUCAAAGGAAUUGACGGGGGCCCGCACAAGCGGAGGAGCAUGUGGUUUAAUUCGAUGAUACGCGAG
rnacentral:rRNA from 1 species